rnacentral:rRNA from 1 species
CCUACGGGAGGCUGCAGUGAGGAAUAUUGGUCAAUGGACGCAAGUCUGAACCAGCCAUGCCGCGUGCAGGAAGACGGCUCUAUGAGUUGUAAACUGCUUUUGUACGAGGGUAAACGCUGAUACGCGUAUCUGUCUGAAAGUAUCGUACGAAUAAAGAUCGGCUAACUCCGUGCCAGCAGCCGCGGUAAGACGGAGGGUUCAAGCGUUAUCCGGAUUUAUUGGGUUUAAAGGGUGCGUAGGCGGUCGGAUAAGUUAGAGGUGAAAUGCCCGGGCUCAACUUCGGAAGUGCCUUUGAUACUGGUCGGAUAGAGAGGUGUUGCGGGAGGCGGAAUGUAUGGGGGAGCGGUGAAAUGCUUAGAGAUC